CAACAUUUCAUUCUAAAACUUGUAAUAUUUGCAUUUGCCCAUAACACUGUUGUUGGAUGUAAGCUCCUCUGGUUUGCUCAGCCUAUUAUCAGAAUAAAAUAAAUUAGCUGAAAGAUUGUGAUCCCUUUGAUUAUUCCCUCGCCCACCUGGGAUUUUCAGGGGUGGGUGAGGGACAUCAGGAACACCACCGAGGCCUGGGACCCAGGUUACUACAGCAAUUGAAAGAAACUCUGGAACUUACACUACUAUUACUGGGAAUACUCAUUAGAUGCAUGGCUCUUCUUUUAUUUCCUUCUUUCUCUCUGGCAAAGCAAUGACUAUUUAGUCCGCUGGAGGGAGGAUUUCACCAUCCGGCCUCUCUGGUCUCGGAACCAGAAAAAUCCCUCGCCUUCUGCACUGUCCAACGGACUCUUAAAAU
rnacentral:lncRNA from 1 species